AAGAUAUCCCUGGAACCAUCCAAACAGAUGAGGCAAGAGCUGAAGGAACCCCUGCCGACAAGAGAAGAGAUGGACAUAGUGCUUCAGUGGAAGGUGGUAUUUCUUGAAGGAAGCACUCCAUCUUCGGUGCCAGCCCCUGCUGCAGGAAGGAAGGCAAAGCCAGACACGGGCACAGGCACAGCAGACUGGGAUGCUGGGAAGGAUUCUCCAUUAGCCUGGCGCUCUGAAGUUGUGAAGCCCUCUGAGCAUUCUGCAGGUAUGU